ACUUAUUGUUGUGGUAACUCUAAAUUUUACAAGGGCCAAUUAAUCAAUUAUAAUAUUAAAUAUAAUUUUUAAAAUUUUACAAUGCUUGACAAAGCGAUAGAGUUUCUUAAUCGGGGGACCAACUUAAUGCCAGCAGUCGCGGUUAUUUUAGGUCCCAACCAUUAGCUUAACUAAAGGUAACUAACCCAACAAAUGAUUGUAGAAAGUUUAAAUUAUUGGGUUAGUUACUAACAAUUUAAAGGCUAGUCUAGACUCAAAAUAAGAUUAGAUACCUUAGUAUGCUAGACUAAUAUAAAGUAGUACAGUUUAACUGACUCAAACUUAACCCUGGUGGCGGCACCACAAAAUUGAGAGGGACUUGCUCACUUAAAAUGUAAUCACACACCUAAAGAAACCUUAGUUUAUUUAUUGCCGUGGAUUUUUGCAUGAAGCAAGAACUAUAUUAUAAAUAAUUAUUUAUAAACCAGGCCCACAUAUAGCUAAUUUGUUUCUCGUGAGUUAGUAACAGUUUACAAUUUUUGCCGCCAAAUCAGCUGAUUUGGCGGCAAAAGGAUUUCAAAGUAAACUAACCUAGAAGGAGGUUAGUUGAAAUUAUUCGUGGUGUGCACAUAUCGCCCGUCAUUUCCGGCAGACUAGUCGGGAGAAGUCGUAACAAAGUGAGCCCAAGUGAACUUGGGCUUGAAAUCAAAAAGAUGAAAAUUACUUACAAUAAUUUAUUAGUCCCAGUGGGGGCCUUUUUGAGUAUGAU
rnacentral:rRNA from 1 species